CGUGUAGGCGGCCAAACAGGUCCGUUGUGAAAACUGGAGGCUCAACCUCCAGACGUCGACGGAAACCGUAUGGCUAGAGUCCGGAAGAGGAGAGUGGAAUUCCUGGUGUAGCGGUGAAAUGCGCAGAUAUCAGGAAGAACACCAAUGGCGAAGGCAGCUCUCUGGGACGGUACUGACGCUGAGACGCGAAAGCGUGGGGAGCGAACA
rnacentral:rRNA from 1 species